rnacentral:rRNA from 1 species
AUCGAACGCUGGCGGCAGGCCUAACACAUGCAAGUCGAGCGGAUGAGUGGAGCUUGCUCCAUGAUUCAGCGGCGGACGGGUGAGUAAUGCCUAGGAAUCUGCCUGGUAGUGGGGGACAACGUUUCGAAAGGAACGCUAAUACCGCAUACGUCCUACGGGAGAAAGUGGGGGAUCUUCGGACCUCACGCUAUCAGAUGAGCCUAGGUCGGAUUAGCUAGUUGGUGAGGUAAAGGCUCACCAAGGCGACGAUCCGUAACUGGUCUGAGAGGAUGAUCAGUCACACUGGAACUGAGACACGGUCCAGACUCCUACGGGAGGCAGCAGUGGGGAAUAUUGGACAAUGGGCGAAAGCCUGAUCCAGCCAUGCCGCGUGUGUGAAGAAGGCCUUCGGAUUGUAAAGCACUUUAAGUUGGGAGGAAGGGCAGUAAGUUAAUACCUUGCUGUUUUGACGUUACCAACAGAAUAAGCACCGGCUAACUUCGUGCCAGCAGCCGCCGUAAGCU